rnacentral:rRNA from 1 species
AGUGAACGCUGGCGGCAGGCUUAACACAUGCAAGUCGAGCGGACCUUUCGGGGUCAGCGGCGGACGGGUGAGUAACGCGUGGGAACGUGCCUUCCGGUUCGGAAUAACCCUGGGAAACUAGGGCUAAUACCGGAUACGCCCUUAUGGGGAAAGGUUUACUGCCGGAAGAUCGGCCCGCGUCUGAUUAGCUAGUUGGUGGGGUAACGGCCUACCAAGGCGACGAUCAGUAGCUGGUCUGAGAGGAUGAUCAGCCACACUGGGACUGAGACACGGCCCAGACUCCUACGGGAGGCAGCAGUGGGGAAUAUUGGACAAUGGGCGCAAGCCUGAUCCAGCCAUGCCGCGUGAGUGAUGAAGGCCUUAGGGUUGUAAAGCUCUUUUAUCCGGGACGAUAAUGACGGUACCGGAGGAAUAAGCCCCGGCUAACUUCGUG